GGCCCUAAAAUUUAAAUGAUAAGAAUAGAGAUUAAAUGUAACAUGAUUUUCUAUGAAUAGGUCAAUUAUGUCCAUUUUUAGAAAAAUCACACAUGAAUCAAUGUCGUGACUUCUGUUUUAAUAUAUAAGAUGUUUAUCUCUUCUCAACAAUACAAUGAUUUUAAAAAACUGAGUGGCUAGUAGUAGCGUCUAGGAUGUUAAUAAGAACGUAAGCAACAUGUACGCGUCAUACGCAAUAUGU
rnacentral:lncRNA from 1 species